GCUUAACGCGAAGAACCUUACCUACUCUUGACAUCUAGCGAAGAUUGCAGAGAUGCAGUUGUGCCUUCGGGAACGCUAAGACAGGUGCUGCAUGGCUGUCGUCAGCUCGUGUUGUGAAAUGUUGGGUUAAGUCCCGCAACGAGCGCAACCCUUAUCCUUAGUUGCCAGCACGUAAUGGUGGGAACUCUAGGGAGACUGCCGGUGAUAAACCGGAGGAAGGUGGGGACGACGUCAAGUCAUCAUGGCCCUUACGAGUAGGGCGUACACACGUGCUACAAUGGUACGUACAGAGGGAGGCAAGCUGGCGACAGUGAGCGGAUCUCUUAAAGCGUAUCGUAGUCCGGAUCGCAGUCUGCAACUCGACUGCGUGAAGUCGGAAUCGCUAGUAAUCGCAAAUCAGAAUGUUGCGGUGAAUACGUUCCCGGGUCUUGUACACACCG
rnacentral:rRNA from 1 species